rnacentral:rRNA from 1 species
UACAGAGGUCUCAAGCGUUGUUCGGAUUCAUUGGGCGUAAAGGGUGUGUAGGCGGUUCUUUAAGUUUGGUGUGAAAUCUCCCGGCUCAACCGGGAGGGUGCGCCGAAAACUGGGGGACUAGAGUGCGGGAUGGGAGAGUAGAAUUCCUGGUGUAGCGGUGAAAUGCGUAGAUAUCAGGAGGAAUACCGGUGGUGUAGACGGCUCUCUGGACCGCCACUGACGCUGAGACACGAAAGCGUGGGUAGCAAACAGG